AAUGGAAGAGAAGAAGCAAAUACAUAGGCUAUGAAAUCUUUUAUGCUAGAGAAGUUGGAGAGCAAAAAGAAUGAUUUGCUCAGAGAGAGAAGACACUGGAUAAACAACUUCAUAGUCUAAUCGAGCAAUUAGCUGCAAAGCAGGCACAAGCAGAGGGGAUUGUUGGUGAGAUUCAUUCGAAUGAGAUGGAGUUAGAGAGACUAAACAGUUUAUGGAGAAGGUAUGAGAGCUUUAACGUUGAGGGGAACGCUGCAAGGAACAGAUUUAAGAGAACAAAUUCAGAUAGAGGAUUUGGUAAGAAACUG